rnacentral:rRNA from 1 species
ACCGGCAGCUCAAGUGGUGGCCAUUUUUAUUGGGCCUAAAGCGUUCGUAGCCGGUUUGAUAAGUCUCUGGUGAAAUCCCGCAGCUUAACUGUGGGACUUGCUGGAGAUACUAUUAGACUUGAGGUCGGGAGAGGUUAGGGGUACUCCCAGGUUAGGGGUGAAAUCAAAUAAUCCUGGGAGGACUACCUGUGGCGAAGGCGACUAACUGGAACGAACCUGACGGUGAGUAACGUACGUCAGGGGCGCGAACCC